rnacentral:rRNA from 1 species
AACGAACGCUGGCGGCAUGCCUAACACAUGCAAGUCGAACGAGACCUUCGGGUCUAGUGGCGCACGGGUGCGUAACGCGUGGGAACCUGCCCUUAGGUUCGGAAUAACUCCCCGAAAGGGGUGCUAAUACCGGAUAAUGUCUUCGGACCAAAGAUUUAUCGCCUUUGGAUGGGCCCGCGUUGGAUUAGCUAGUUGGUAGGGUAAAAGCCUACCAAGGCGACGAUCCAUAGCUGGUCUGAGAGGAUGAUCAGCCACACUGGGACUGAGACACGGCCCAGACUCCGACGGGAGGCAGCAGUGGGGAAUAUUGGACAAUGGGCGAAAGCCUGAUACAGCAAUGCCGCGUGAGUGAUGAAGGCCUUAGGGUUGUAAAGCUCUUUUACCCGGGAUGAUAAUGACAGUACCGGGAGAAGAAGCUCCGGCUAACUCCGUG